GACGUAGGGGGCCAGCGUUGCUCGGAAUAACUGGGCGUAAAGGGUCCGUAGGCGGUGUGGCAAGUCGGGAGUGAAAUCUCUGGGCUUAACCCAGGGGCUGCUUCCGAAACUGCCGUGCUAGAGUGCGAGAGAGGUGAGUGGAAUUGCAGGUGUAGCGGUGAAAUGCGUAGAUAUCUGCAGGAACACCCGUGGCGAAGGCGGCUCACUGGAUCGCAACUGACGCUGAGAGACGAAAGCUAGGGGAGCAAACAGGAUUAGAUACCCUGGUAGUCCUAGCCCUAAACGAUCAGAACUUGGGGUGCAUCCCGUUGGGGGUGCGUCCCGUAGCUAACGCGUUAAGUUCUGCGCCUGGGGAGUACGGUCGCAAGACUGAA
rnacentral:rRNA from 1 species